UACAGAGGUCUCAAGCGUUUGUUCGGAUUCAUUGGGCGUAAAGGGCUCGUAGGUGGCCAACUAAGUCAGACGUGAAAUCCCUCGGCUUAACCGGGGAACUGCGUCUGAUACUGGAUGGCUUGAGUUCGGGAGAGGGAUGCGGAAUUCCAGGUGUAGCGGUGAAAUGCGUAGAUAUCUGGAGGAACACCGGUGGCGAAGGCGGCAUCCUGGACCGACACUGACACUGAGGAGCGAAAGCCAGGGGAGCAAACGGG
rnacentral:rRNA from 1 species